UACAGAGGCCUCGAGCGUUAGGCGGAAUCACUGGGCUUAAAGCGUGUGUAGGCGGACUUCUAAGUACCUUGUGAAAUCCCACGGCUCACCCGUGGAACUGCUCGGUAUACUGGUCGUCUUGAGCCUUCUAGGGGCGAGUGGAACAAAUGGUGGAGCGGUGAAAUGCGUAGAUAUCAUUUGGAACGCCAAUGGUGAAAACAACUCGCUGGGGAAGUGCUGACGCUGAGGCACGAAAGCGUGGGGAGCAAACAGG
rnacentral:rRNA from 1 species